AUUACUACUGGAAGCUACAAGCUCCCUCCCUGCUCCACUCCAUUCUGAUUUGUCCAAUUGCAGACAAAUAGAUCCAUGUACGGUUUCUGUGCUGGCAUCUGGCUCAAAACUGUACAGCUGGAUAGCUCAGAUAUUGCUCACCAGUUUUAUUGCACCGAUAAUAUUAGGGUGGGGUUGGGAGUGGCUGUAAGCUAGCAGGAGAGAGUAUAAAAAUAGGGGUGAUGGGAAGUGGGGAAGGCAUAUCCUGUGAUAACUGUCCUGCCAACAACUUCAGCAGUUUGUAGUAAACUACUGCUGCUCUGCAGAAACUUUGUCCUAGAAAACAACACAGUUAUUUGGUUUUGGCUAAAAACUGCAUAAUCAUAAUUAAAAGACCACAUGAAUGCUUUUACAGCAGAUUAAAAAGUUAACGGGGUGUGUUUUCAGAAACGCAGGCAUAAUAUUCUUUCAUCUUUUUGCUGUUUGUCCUCAGGCCUGUACGGAACAGAGCAUUUUAGAGGAAAUUAACCCCAGAGACAAAGAGACAAAAGCUCAAAAGGAAAACUCCGACUUCCCGAGAGGCGGAACACCAAAAAAGAAGAGGGGAAGGAAACAUAAUUGAUAGAUGGUGUGAGGAUUCGUGAUGGCAUCCUCCCUAACUUGAGGUGAAAGCUGACCAUAUGACAUUUUUGUUUUUUGUUCUCUCCAUUAAUUUCUCUUUGUUUUUGAGUGUCCACCAGAGGGGAGUGUUUCCAUGAAGCGCGCCAUGAAGGCCUCCCUUGGACACCAGCUGUGAUCCAGUUUUCCAUCAAUCAGCUUGGCCUGGAAGAACCAUCAGCUGAAAUGGAGAGGGGUGGAUGUGGAGACCUUUUCUUUUGUUUUGUUCCUUAUUGUUGGUUUGAUCAUGUAUUUUGUUUCUUAUUAGUUAAUAUUUUUCUUAGUCACUUUAUGGUUAGUUAAACAUCUCAUUUUAUCCAUUGGUUUUAUAUUCACUGUUUACAUUUGGUCAGGCAGUCGGCCCUACUUCUACGUUUAUGGUAUGGUCUUAAUGGUCUGAAUUGUAUAUAAGUGGUGUUUUUUGUAAAGUUGAGAGAGAUUGUUUUUGGGCUGCCAUGUCACGCUGGCUGUGGUUGAAAUUAAAAAAAGGAUCAGAGCUCUGAA